ensembl:lncRNA
GAUGCUUUACCGUCAAACCCGGGUCUCCUGCAUUGCGGGCAGAUGCUUUACUGUCGAACCUGGGUCCCCCGCAUUGCGGGCAGACACUUUACCAUCUGAGCAUCAGCCUGCAGUGCGGGAGACCCGGGUUCAAUCCCUGGGUCGGGAAGAUCCUGUGGAGAAGGAAAUGGCAACCCACUCUGGUACUCUUGCCUGGAAAAUUCCGUGGACUGAGGAGCAUGGUAGGCUACAGUCCAUGGGGGUCUCAAAGAGUCGGACAUGACUGAGCGACUUCACUUCAUUUCAUGGGGUGAAGAUGAAGCCUAACUGCCUCCACAUACUCUGUGAGGUCGAAUGGCCCCCUGUGGGAGUAGGAUGGCCACCAGAGAACACCAUGAACUUAAAAGUAGUGGAAGCAGUCUAUACAGUAAUCACAGGAGAGCCAGGACACCUGGAUCAAUAUCCACAUAUUGACUCAUGGCUAGGGUUAGCUUCAAGACCCUCCUAUUUGGACAAGGUUCUGUAACCAGAAGGGAAAGGGAAAAAUAUUAAUGGCACUAAAAUUGACUGAUGAUAGAAAAGGAAAUCCUACAGGAUUUGGAUGGGGAUGACCUGACCCUUCCCCCAUACUGGAUAAUGACGCGCCUGCCUCCCAGUGCUCCACCAGGACUGGAGGCCGCCUUAAUGCCCGAUCCAGGGCCAGGUGAAGUUCCUGUAGAAGCCACUGCUCUUCCACCAGCUCUUCCAGAGUUCAUAGAGCCACCGUUUCGGCAGGCUCCAAUCCCAGCAAUGGAGAUUCCGGUCAAUGCCCUCAGAAUUCCGCCUCAAUUGGACCUCCUAGAUUGUAUCCACCUCUCCUGGUGAGUACUGAUCGGAAGAGGGAAGAAAACACAGCAAUUAGACAGAGGCUGCACUCCGCCAAGGAACAGGGGUAAAGAACCCCACUACAGAUGCCCCUCAGAGAGCUACAACAGCCUCCAGUUCAGGACACAUGGGGCACUACCAUCAGCCCCCUGUAGCCUAUUAUUACCAGCCGUUUUCCUCUACGGGUAUAUUAAACUGGCAGAGACAUGCUCCACCAUACUCAGGGGAGCCACAAGCCAUGAUUAGGCUAAUGGAGACUAUUUUUUGAACCCACCGCCCUACAUAGGAUGACAUAAUCCAACUACUAGUCUCCCUUUUCAGCACUGAGGAAAGACACAGGAUCCUAACUGAGGCCAGAAAAUGGUUAAGAGAAAUGGCACCGGAGGGUACUGCAAACCCAAGCGGUGGGCAGAACUAGCCACCCCCGAUAAGAGGCCCAACUGGGACUGUAAAACAGAGGAAGGGAGGGGCCACCUGGAGAGAUAUUGGGUGACUAUUUUACAAGGUCUCAAGAGGGGGGCCCGAAAAGCUAUGAGUAUCGUAAAACCCUCCGAAAUGAUUCAAAAGGAAAGCGAAUCAGCCUCUGAGUUCUGAGAAAGACUGUGCGAGGCCUACACCAAUAGACCCAGCCAGAGGCUGCUGGGUCUCAGAUGGUGAUAAAUGCAGCCUUUGUGUCUCUAGCCUACCCUGAAAAUGUUAGAUGGGUGGACACCAAGUGACUCAUGAAUUUUUAUACAUCCCUGAAUGCCCAGUACCUUUGUUAGGAAGAGACUUGCUGUCUAAACUGGGGGCACAAGUGACCUUUCCCCCCACGAAAAGCCCACUGUUCGAGUGGGCUCAACCACCUAUUUACUCUUCCUCUCAGUAACCCCUCAAGAUGAAUGGAGGUUGCACAAUCUCCUGGAAAAGAAACCAGACGGGCUAAACAGUCAAGAAAGAGAAUUAACUCAACAAUUCCCUGAGGUCUGGGCAGAAGACAACCCCUACCCCCCCACCGCCCCGGCCUUGCAAAACAAGUCCCACUGGUAAUAGAAUUCAAACCAGGUACAAUUACAUUGGUACCCGCCUUGGGCCUGCCAGACCUUGCUAAGCCAUUUACUCUUUACGUGACUGAAAAGGACAAGGUGGCUAUGGGAGUGUUGUCCCAGAUUAUGGGGACAUGAGACAGACCAGUGAUUUAUCUCUAAUCAGCUGGACAAUGUUGCCACUGGUGGCUGGGAUGCUUAUGGGCAGUUGCUGCUGUUGCCUUACUGGUCCAGGAGACAACCAAGCUGACUUUGGGUCAAGAUUUGUUUGUAAAAGUCCCACAUGAGGUUAACACUCUUUUGUGAGGGGACCCCCAUAAAUGGCUGUCAACAUCCAGGAUUAUUCAAUACCAGGGACUGUUAUGUGAGAACCCCCAUGAUACUACUGAGACUUGUCAGGCCCUGAAUCUGGCCAUUCUCUUUCUUGUGGGAGAAGGUGGGUCCUCACAUGAUUGCAAGGAAAUAUGCCAGCAGACCUGGCUUGAGAGACCAGCCAAUCUCAGACCCAGAUUUGCUCCUGUACACCAAAGACACCAGCCUGGUGAAACAAGGACAAUGACUGUCAGGAUAUGCAGUAGUCAUGGAAGAAACCAUCGUUGAGGCUAGCUCUCUGCCAUCACAUUGGUCCGCUCAACAGGCCAAACUAUAUGCUCUAACCCAGGCUCUCCAGCUGUCAAAAGGUAAGAAGACAAACAUUUACACAGACUCCAGGUAUGCUUUUGCCAUAGGGCUCUGUAUAAGGAGAGAGGCCUUUGACAGCUAGUGAAAAAGAUAUUAAAAAUAAGGAAGAAACUAAGACCCUAUUAUAUGCUGCCUGGGAACCAGAAAGGGUUGCAGUCAUACACUGCUGAGGACGUCAAAAAGAGGAUACCCCCUGGGCUCAGGGAACAGACUGGCAGAUAAGACCGCUAAACAAGCAGCCGAGGGCUUGGGGGUGACAAGUGAAGCCCCUAUUAAAGCUCUCAUAUUGACGGAGCUACCUGAGCUAACUCUAGACUCUCCAAAAUACACUGAAGCCCAAAACUAACUAGCCAAAGCAGAAAGGGGCCAUCAGGACUGAAAAGAGAUGGUGGGAAUUGCCAAGUGGCAAAUUAUUGGUACCAGAGGAGCUGGCACCCACUCUGGUAAGCCAAACACACCAAGAGACCCAUCUAGGCCAUGAUAAACUGGAAGAGCUAAUUUGGAAAUAUUUCUUGGUUCCCUACCUCUCUUCCCUAUGCAGGACAGAAUCUCAAAACUGCACUGCCUGCCCACAGGUCAAUGCUGCCUCUCGGCACAGACAGAAACCUCUAGCUGCUGCUGCUGCUGCUAAGUCGCUUCAGUUGUGUCCGACUCUGUGCGACCCCACAGACGGCAGCCUAAUAGGCUCCCCCGUCCCUGGGAUUCUCCAGGCAAGAACACUGGAGUGGGUUGCCAUUUCCUUCUCCAAUGCAUGAAAGUGAAAAGUGAAAGUGAAGAAGUACAGGGAUUCAGGUAAAAGGCACAAUGCCCUUUGAACAUUUGGAAGUGUACUUCACUGAAAUGAAACCUUACCGACACUACCAUUACCUGCUGGUCAUAGUAUGUACAUUCUUGAGAUGGGUAGAAGCUUUUCCUACCCAGACUGAAAGAGCAUCAAAAGUAGCCUGGUACCUGCUUAGGGAGAUAGUUCCCAGAUUUGGAUUUUCUACUAGCAUUGGAUCGGACAAUGGCCCAGCUUUCAUAGCUGAUUUAGUAUAAAGUAAGCAAAACUUUAAACAUCAAGUGGAAAUUACAUACAGCAUACAGACCCCAGAGUUCUGGGAUGGUGGAAGGAACCAACUGGACACUUAAAGAGACACUCUCCAAGUGGAUCUUAGAGACUGACUGUUCCUGGGUGGACUUGUUUCCGAUGGCUCUGCUCAGACUCAGGAUGACCCCACAGUCCCAUGGCUCUUCUCCAUUCAAAAUUGUGUAUAAGAGGCCCCCUCCCAUAAUAAAACAGGUGUCAACAACUUUGCCUCAGGUAAGCAGCAAGGGGAGAUGAGAUUUCACAGCAGGUGGAACAACUGGGUAAGGUAAUAAAUCAGGUAACUAAGUUUGUGCAAGAAAGGGUGCCUUUCCCCCUUGGGGAACAGAUUCACGAAUUUGUGCCUGAGGAUCAGGUGUGGUCAUGGACUGGAAACAUGACUCCUUGGCCCCACAUUGAAAGGGUCCAUAUACUGUUGUUCUAACCAGCCCUACUGCAGUUAAAGUUUCAGGUGUCACUCCUUGGAUCCACCACAUGAGGGUGAAGAGAGCAUACCACGCAGACUGGAGGAUGCUGAGCGGACUACACAAAAGGACCCCGCUGACCCCCGUGAAACCAAAUCAUCUUAAAGAAGAAAAAGUGAUGAAGCUCUUCAAUUAACUGCUGCUACAAGGACUUGCUGUCAUGUGGGUUGUUGGCUCCUCCCCAACCAGGGAUUGAACCAGCACCCCCUGCAUUGGAAGGUGAAGUUGUAAUCACUGGACCACCAGGUAAGUUCCCAAGGGGUUUCUAAAAGUAAUCUCAUUAACAUAAGCUAAGUUGUGGUUGAAAAGUCCUUGCUAUGAAUAACAAGACACAUUAUUUCAGGAAGCCACUUGAAGAACUGAGGACAAAACCCCAAAUUUUAUAAUAAAAGAUGCCAUUUCACUCUUUCUUUUUUAAAAUUGAACUGUAGUCAGUUAUACAAUGUUGCUUUAGUUUCAGGUGUACAGCAAAGUGAUUUAGUGAUACACACACACACACACACACACACACGUCUCCACUUUUUCCAGAUUCUUUCCCCUUACAGAUUAUCACAAAAUAUUGGAUAUAAUUCCAAGGGUUUUAGGAACUGUGAGCUAGGAACAAUGUACAAAGACAAAAAUAUGUAUUUAUAACAUAUAAUAUUGUAUAUCAGCUAAGUUCAGUUCAGUACAGUUGCUCAGUCAUGUCCGACUCUUUGCGACCCCAUGAACCGCAGCACACGAGGCCUCCCUGUCCAUUACCAACUCCCAGAGUUUACCCAAGCUCAUGUCCAUUGAGUUGGUGAUGCCAUCCAACCAUCUCAUCCUCUGUCGUCCCCUUCUCUUCCUGCCCUCAAUCUUUCCCAGCAUCAGGCUCUUUUCCAGUGAGUCAGCUCUUUGCAUCAGGUGGCCAAAGUAUUGGAG